rnacentral:tRNA from 1 species
GCCCGGCUGGCUCAGUCAGACCAGCACGUGACUCUUGAUCUCGGGGUCGUGAGUUCAAGCCCCAUGCUGGGUG